rfam:Enteractinococcus sp. TASWS1574 114, whole genome shotgun sequence.
CAAGGUCUCUUAUUUCAGACCUCUGUCCGAACAGCUGGCCCGUCUUCCCCUGGGCCAGGUGCACGGAUGGGGAUCUGGGGUAAGAGCCAUCAUUUU